CCACAACUGAAAGGGGGAAAAAUGACCCAAAUGAUAGCGUUGCAAGUUUGAUUGACUCUCACACAGGGAUGAAAGUAAAGGGUUGCAGAGUGUUAAGGAAGUGAGCAUCAGCGGUUUGGGUUGUUAAUGUUUUAUAUUUGUAAACGUUUAUUUAUUUGCCUCCUCCAUGGCCGUGCGUUUAUUUUUACUAUCGUAAUAACCACUAUGAGGGGAGCAUGUAUAACGGCGCAUGCCCCAUGCACCUACAAGAGCGAAAGAGAUGUGUAUAUUGAGGUGCUUCUCGCACGUGCCAGGUGGAGUCAGUUAUCAACUGUAUGGAUAAUUAAAUCAUCAAUCAAGAGGCUCGACUGUUUGAUGCCUUUGUCCAAAGCCAAUCAGAUUCCAGAGAACUCGGAAGCACAGCUCGAGAGGAAAAGCUGUUAUUGGUCGCAGCCUGGUGAUAGUGCGUUACAGACUUGAAGAAGGGGAUCCCGCUUUACUGCAGCUGUCCCAUGGAAACACAGCUAUCUUUGGAUUCCAACUCCCCGCAGGACUGCUGUUCUGUGCUGGGAAAGGAGCAGCUAUCAUGAUGGAAUUGCUCCCAGAAAUGUUACAUCUGUGCUAAAACUUAGGACAAGGAGGAGGAGGAGGAGGAGGAGGAGAAUUCACAGGUGGUGGUGGGGAAAGAAUCUAACGGAAUGGAAUCCCCAAACUAAAUAAGAGAGGGAGGAUGAGAGGAGGAGGAGGAGGAGAACAGGACUGUGUCAUUUCCUGUACAUGAGAACAUACCCCAAAGCUGCUCUACAUUUCACUGUUUUAAUGUCGCCCCUAAAUAAUUUCACAAACCACAAGUAUGGUAUAUGAUACAUUACGGUAAGUAAGAUUUAUGCUGAAGACAAUUCAAUGUCUUACAUAAAGUAUGACUACUUUUAUGACUACAUAUAUCCUAUAUACCGCUGACAGCUUCUAACAACGAUGGUGAGUAUACAGUAUGUCUGAGGCCCUAAACAUACAGUUGAAAGCCUUCUAAAGAUGUUUGGUAUACAAUACAAUGUAUAAGGGCCUACAUGAUAAUGGUGUGACACAAAGCAUCUGCUUCACCAGAUCACAUCUAUCCCUCUAGUUUGUUUUCAACUCUCCCUCUCUCUCCCUUCACUACAAUCACCACAACAACAUCGACUAGGUCUCUCUAUGGGACCCGUUCUGUGAUAUUUUGAUCCCACUGCCGUAGAUAGCCGUAGAUAUGAUGCCAUUUAAUACUCCACCGUUGCUCGCAGUGUAACAGAGUGAAGAACGUGAGAGAUUGACGGACAAUUAGAGAACAUAGGCGACCGUGUGUGUGUGUGAUCUUCGAGGAGAAGCCUCAAACGCGGAAAAUGAAUUUAGUUUACAUUCGCUACAGGCCUUACAGGCAAAUGAGCACUUCUCCUUUGCUUGUGCUUUUCUCAAAAACACUUCAGAUGUUUCUCAGUGUAUAUAAAAGAAAGUGAGACAGAGAGAGAGAGGAGAGAGAGAGAUUGCAAAGUAACAGAACAGAUUGCUUAGAAGCAAAAAGCUUACAUCAGAAACAUAUAGAUUUUUCUUCUGUUGGUUGCUCUUGUUAAAAUCAACCGAGUAAGUGCAUGGUGACUCUAUCUGAGACUGCAAAUUACAACUUGUUCAUUUGAGCUGCUCAAAUAAGAGACAGAUCAGAUGUUCUGCUUUACUUUGAAUCUUUCCUGUGGAAAGAGGUCAAGUCCCCAGUGGCCAGAAAAGUAACAGAUUGGUGGAGGGAGGCUAUGAGGGACUCAGAAAACCAGCAUUUCUGGUUUAAUAUUUUGAUAUUCCCUCUUUGUGAAGUAUUUAUACCCAGAAGAGAUAAAGACAUAAAACACAAUAAGUUCAUAUUUGACAUGAACACAAGUUAGUCCUCUUUCACCCAAAGUGGGUUUUAAAAAAAAAGGUAAUCUGCUCAGGAAACAGGAAAACGUAUUUCACUCUUGACUCGAAAGAUGACUUAUCGCUCCCUGGAAUGAAUACAUGAGGGUGGCUAUGAUGCAUUAUUAAUCAAACAUUUGAAUAAUUGUUGUAUCUCUAAUCUCUUCCCUGCAUUUGCAUAUCAGCCUUUUAAUGUCUGCCUCCAUAUAUGAUGCUAGCUACUUCCUCUUAGGACAUAGAAAUAUAAUUAAUAUAACUAACUUAUUUCCUCAAACCAAACCAUGUCUUCUCUCUCUCUCUCUCUCUCUCUCUCUCUCUCUCUCUCUCUCUCUCUCUC